rnacentral:tRNA from 1 species
GGGCGCUUAGCUCAGCUGGCUAGAGCAUCGCUUUUACACAGCGGAGGUCGGGGGUUCGAGCCCCUCAGCGCCCA